AGUGAACGCUGGCGGUAGGCCUAACACAUGCAAGUCGAACGGCAGCACAGUAAGAGCUUGCUCUUACGGGUGGCGAGUGGCGGACGGGUGAGGAAUACAUCGGAAUCUACUUUUUCGUGGGGGAUAACGUGGGGAAACUUACGCUAAUACCGCAUACGACCUACGGUUGAAAGCAGGGGAUCUUCGGACCUUGCGCGAUUGAAUGAGCCGAUGUCGGAUUAGCUAGUUGGCGGGGUAAAGGCCCACCAAGGCGACGAUCCGUAGCUGGUCUGAGAGGAUGGUUAGCCACACUGGAACUGAGACACGGUCCAGACCCCUACGGGAGGCAGCAGUGGGGAAUAUUGGACAAUGGGCGCAAGCCUGAUCCAGCCAUACCGCGUGGGUGAAGAAGGCCUUCGGGUUGUAAAGCCCUUUUGUUGGGAAAGAAAAGCAGCAGGUUAAUACCCCGCUGUUCUGACGGUACCCAAAGAAUAAGCACCGGCUAACUUCGUG
rnacentral:rRNA from 1 species